GUGUCAGCAGCCGCGGUAAUACAUAGGGUGCAAGCGUUGUCCGGAAUUAUUGGGCGUAAAGAGCUCGUAGGUGGUUCGUCACGUCGGAUGUGAAAAUCUGGGGCUUAACCCCAGACCUGCAUUCGAUACGGGCGAGCUAGAGUGUGGUAGGGGAGACUGGAAUUCCUGGUGUAGCGGUGGAAUGCGCAGAUAUCAGGAGGAACACCAAUGGCGAAGGCAGGUCUCUGGGCCAUUACUGACACUGAGGAGCGAAAGCGUGGGGAGCGAACAGGAUUAGAUACCCUGGUAGUCCACGCCGUAAACGGUGGGCACUAGUUGUGGGAACCUUCCACGGUUUCUGCGACGCAGCUAACGCAUUAAGUGCCCCGCCUGGGGAGUACGAUCGCAAGAUUAAAACUCAAAUGAAUUGACGGGG
rnacentral:rRNA from 1 species